AACUGUGUUCCUUAAUGGAUUUAUUAAAGAAGAGUUGUAUAUGAUGCCACCAGAAGGUUUUGUCAAUCCUAAAGGUACUAACGAAAUAUGCAAGCUCCAGCGAUCCAUCUAUGGACUGGUGGAAGCAUCUCGGAGUUGGAAUAUGCGCUUUGAUAAGUUGAUCAAAUCAUAUAGUUUUAUACAGACUUGCGGUGAAGCUUGUAUUUACAAGAAAGUGAGUGGGAGCACUACAGCAUUUCUGAUAAGUAUAUGUAUGACAUAUUGUUGAUCGGAGAUGAUGUAUAAUUAUUCUGCAAAGCAUAAAGGAAUGUUUGAAAGGAGUUUUUUCAAAGAAAGACCUCGGUGAAGCUGCUUACAUAUUGAGCAUCAAGAUCUAUAGAGAUAGAUCAAGACGCUUAAUAAGUUUUUCAAUGAGUACAUACCUUGAUAAGAUUUUGAAGUAGUUCAAAAUGGAACAGUCAAAGAAGGAGUUCUUGCCUGUGUUACAAGGUGUGAAGUUGAGUAAGACUCAAAACCCGACCACGGCAGAAGAUAGAGAGAGAAUGAAAGUCAUUCCCUAUGCCUCAGCCAUAGGUUCUAUAAAGUAUGCCAUGUUGUGUACCAGAACUAUUGUAUACCCUGCCCUGAGUUUGGCAAAGGGAGUACAAUAGUGGUCUACGAGUAGAUCACUGGACAUUGGUCAAAAUUAUCCUUAGUGGAAUAAGGAUAUGUUUCUCGAUUAUGGAGGUGACAAAAGGUUCAUCGUAAAAGGUUACGGCGAUGCAAGUUUUGACACUGAUCCAGAUGACUCAAAGUCUCAAUCUGGAUACAUAUUGAAAGUGGGAGCAAUUAGCUAGAGUAGCUUAGUGCAGAGCAUUAUUGACAUAGAAAUUUGCAAAAUACUUACAGAUCUGAAUGUGGCAGACCCGUUGACUAAACUUCUCUCACAAGCAAAACAUGAUCACACCUUAGUACUCUUUGGGCGUUAAUCACAUAGUGAUGUGAACUAGAUUAUUGAAUAUAGUAAACCCUUUGGGUGUUGGUCACAUGACGAUGUGAACUAUGGGUGUUAAUCACAUGGUGAUGUGAACUAUUGAUGUUAAAUCACAUGGCGAUGUGAACUAGAUUAUUGACUCUAGUGCAAGUGGGAGACUGAAGGAAAUAUGCCCUAGAGGCAAUAAUAAAGUUAUUAUUUAUUUCCUUAUUUCAUGAUAAAUGUUUAUUAUUCAUGCUAGAAUUGUAUUAACCGGAAACAUAAUACAUGUGUGAAUACAUAGACAAACAGAGUGUCACUAGUAUGCCUCUACUUGACUAGCUCGUUGAAUCAAAGAUGGUUAAGUUUCCUAGCCAUAGACAUGAGUUAUCAUUUGAUUAACAGUGUCACACCAUUAGAGAAUGAUGUGAUUGAUUUGACCCAUUCCGUUAGCAUAGCACUUGAUCGUUUAGUUUGUUGCUAUUGCUUUCUUCAUAACUUAUACAUGUUCCUAUGACUAUGAGAUUAUGCAACUCCCGUUUACUGGAGGAACACUUUGUGUGAUACCAAACGUCACAACGUAAAUAGGUGAUUAUAAAGGUGCUCUACAGGUGUCUCCGAAGGUACUUGUUGGGUUGGCGUAUUUCGAGAUUAGGAUUUGUCACUCCGAUUGUCGGAGAGGUAUCUCUGGGCCCUCUCGGUAAUGCACAUCACUUAAGCCUUACAAGCAUUGCAACUAAUAAGUUAGUUGCGGGAUGAUGUAUUACGGAACGAGUAAAAGAGACUUACCGGUAACGAGAUUGAACUAGAGUAUUGAGAUACCGACGAUCGAAUCUCGGGCAAGUAACAUACCGAUGACAAAGGGAACAACGUAUGUUGUUAUGCGGUCUGACCAAUAAAGAUCUUCGUAGAAUAUGUGGGAGCCAAUAUGAGCAUCCAGGUUCCGCUAUUGGUUAUUGACCGGAGACGUGUCCCUGUCAUGUCUACAUAGUUCUCGAACCCAUAGGGUCCGCACGCUUAAGGUUUCGAUGACAGUUAUAUUAUGAGUUUAUGAGUUUUGAUGUAUCGAAGGAGUUUGGAGUCCCGGAUGAGAUCGGGGACAUGACGAGGAGUCCCGAAAUGGUCGAGACGUACCGAUCGAUAUAUUGGACGACUAUAUUCGGACAUCAGAAAGGUUCCGAGUGAUUCGGGUAUUUUUCGGAGUACCGGAGAGUUACGGGAAUUCGCCGUGUAUAUGGGCCUUAUUGGGCCAUACGGGAAUAGAGGAGAGAGGCCAAAAGGAAGGAGCCGCGUGCCCCCCCUCUGGUCCAAUUGGACAAGGGGUGCAGCCCACUUUUCCUUGUUCCUCUCCCCCUCUUUCCUUCUCUCCUACUCCAACAAGGGAAGGAGGAGUUCUACUCCCGGUGGGAGUAGGACACCCCCGUUGGCGCGCCCUCCUCCUAGGUCGGCCGCCUCCCUCCCUUGCUCCUUUAUAUACGGGGGCAGGGGGCAUCCCAGAUACACAACAGUUGAUCAUUGAUCUCUUAGCCGUGUGCGGUGCCCCCCUCCACCAUAGUCCUCGAUAAUAUUGUAGUGGUGCUUAGGCGAAGCCCUGUGGCAGUAGAACAUCAAGAUCGUCACCACACCGUUGUGCUGACGGAACUCUUCCCCGAUAUUCUGCUGGAUCAGAGUCCGGGGAUCGUCAUCGAGCUGAACAUGUGCUAGAACUCGAAGGUGUUGUAGUUUCGGUGCUUGAUCGGUCGGGCCGUGAAGACGUACGACUACAUCAACCGCGUUGUGCUAAUGCUUCCGCUUUCGGUCUACGAGGGUACGUAGACAACACUCUCCCCUCUCGUUGCUAUGCAUCACCAUGAUCUUGCGUGUGCGUAGGAUUUUUUUUGAAAUUACUACGUUCCCCAACAUUGUGCUACCAAACGAGCCUUGUUGCGAAUGAUAAUCCCAUGAGUAUCUUGCUUGUUCUUGAAUAUCCACUUGGUUCCAAUGACAUUGUGGUUCACCGUUGGCCUUGGCACCAAUCUCCACACUUUGUUACGCUCGAAGUUGUUGAGUUCUUCAUGCAUGGCAUUGAGCCAAUCCGGAUCUUCGAGCGCCUCAUAGACCUUUUGGGGUUCAACACAAGAGACAAACACGUGAUGUUCACAAUAGUUUGCUAAUUGUCUACGAGUGCUUACCACCUUUCUUAAGCUUCCAAGCACAUUCGUCAUGGGAUGAUCCUUGGUGGAGAGCUUGGAAGCAACCUUGGCGGCACGACGCUCCAAUUCCUCCUUGGGGGUGAGAUGAGGAGUGGUCACUUGAUCAUCUUGAGCGUCGUCUUGAGCUUGUUCUUGAUCUCAUGGAAGCUCUUGAUCUUGAACUUGCUCGGGAGAGGGAGCUUGACCUUGGGCAUCACUUGAUGUUACAACACCAUCUUGAGAUUGAUCUUGCCCUUGGUCUUGUUCUUGAGGUUGAGGGCCCUCACUUUGUUCUUCGGAAGCAUGUGGGUCUUGGGUUGGUGAAGGUUCCACUUGAGUAGAACAUUGUCCUUCUCCUUUGGUCACAAGGGGUUCCUCAAUGGGUAGGAUAUGACCAAUACCCAUUCUUCUUAUGGCUUGGGGAGGAACUUCAUCACCUACAUCACAAGUACCACUUUGCUCCACUUGGGAGCCAUUAUUCUCAUCAAACUCCACGUUACACAUUUCCUCAAUAAGUCCUGUGGACUUAUUGAGAACACGGUAAGCAUGAGAGUUUGUAGUAUGACCAACAAAUAUGCCCUCAUAAGCUCUUGCCUCAAAUUUAGACAAACAGACACCUUUCUUGAGAAUGAAACACUUACACCCGAACACCCGGAAGUACUUGAGGUUGGGCUUGUUACCGGUGAGUAUCUCAUAUGGAGUCUUGUUCAAGCCUUUGCGGAGGUAUAGCCUAUUAGAUGCAUGGCACACGGUGUUGAUGGCUUCGACCCAAAAGUUGUAGGGAGACUUGAACUCCGCCAUCAUGGUCCUUGUCGCAUCCAUCAACGUCCGGUUCUUCCUCUUCGCUACACCAUUUUGUUGAGGGGUAUAAGGUGUGGAAUAUUGAUGCUUGAUUCCCUCAUCACUCAAAAACUCAUCCAAGGUGUAGUUCUUGAACUCGGAGCCGUUGUCACUUCUUAUUGUCAAGAUCUUUGCAUUGUGUUGUCGUUGAUCUCCAUUUGCAAAGUCGAUGACAGUUUGUUGGGUCUCGCUCUUCCUCUUGAAGAAAUAUACCCAAGUGUAUCUUGAAUAGUCAUCUACAAUCACCAAGCAAUACUUUCUACCCCCAAGACUAUCAAAGGAUGGAGGUCCAAAGAGAUCCAAGUGAAGGAGCUCCAAAGGCCUCUUCGAGUAGAUGAUAGUCGUGGGAGGAUGAGCCUUCUCAUGUAGCUUUCCUUCGAUGCAAGCACUGCAAGCACGAUCUUUGGCAAAACUAACAUUUGUUAGUCCAUGGACAUGGUCCCCCUUGAGAAGAAUUUGCAAAGAUCUCAUAUUGACGUGGGCUAAACGGCGAUGCCAAAGCCAUCCCACGUCAACUUUAGACAUUAGGCAUGUCGCGGUCUUAGUGGGUCGCUUCAAAAAGUUAAUCACAUAGAGACCGUUCUCGACAUGCCCAACAAAGGCUACUUUAAGAGUCUUGCUCCACAAGAGGUCCACGGAAUCAACAUCAAAGAAAGUGGCAAAGCCCAUGAGUGCUAGUUGACGAACAAAAAGUAAAUUGUAUGCAAGGGACUCAACAAGCAUGACCUUCUUGAUCGUAAGAUCAUGAGAAAUGACAACUUUGUUGAGUCCCAAUACCUUAGAAGAUGAGGCAUCACCCCACUCGACAUUGGUGGGCAUGGAUGGAAUCUUUUGCAUGUCCACCACCAAGUCCUUGCUUCCGGUCAUAUGAUUAGUAGCUCCACUAUCGAGCAACCAUGAUCCCCCACCGGAAGCAAACACCUACAAGAGAUCAAUGCUUGGUUUUAGGCACCCAUUUGGUAAUGGGUCCUUUUAUGUUAGUAACAAGGGUCUUAGGAACCCAAAUAGACAAUUCAAUGUACUCAUACGGAGAACCAACAAAUUUGGCUUAAACAUGCCCAUCUCUAGCGCAGCACAACACAUAGGAAGGAUUAAAGUUGCCGGCUUUGUUGGGAAGGGAGCAUUUCCCUUCUUGGCAUCACUACUCCUCAUGAAGUUUUUCUCCUUCUCCUUAGUAGCACCCUCACCCUCCUUCACAAAGGUUUGCUUGAGAGGUGGAGGUCGUCUAGCCUUGUCAUUAGUCUUCUUGUUCUUGGACUUGGGCACGUACCCAAUCCCUUCCUUGCCCACAACUCCCUUUUGGUUGGUCAAGAGGUCGUUGAGGCUCUUCUCGCCUUGUAUGCAAGACACAAGACCUUUCUCAAGUUUCACCUUUAGCUUAGCGUUCUCCUCAACAAGAUGCACAUGCUCACAACACGGGUUAGUAGCAUUUGCAUUAUCAAUUAACAUCAUACGAGGAAAAGUGGCUUUCUCCUUGGUUAGCUUUACUUGAAGUUGAUCAUGAGACUCUUUGAGGCUAGCAUGAGCACCCUUCAAGACCUUGUGAGCCUUGUCAAGUAGAUCAAACUCCUCUUUGAGUCUAGCAAGAUCAACCCCAAGUUUGGCCUUCUCGGAGUUUAGCACACAAGAAAUAACAAGAGCAUGAUCAAAAUCUUUCUUUAACUUAGCAUGAUCAACAUUGUGUGACUCCUCAAGAGCCAAACAAGACCAUGCUCUUCCUCAAGAGCAUUGGAAAGAUCCAAAAUCUCAUCGGCAUAGUCACGACUAUGCCCCUCCAUCUUGGAGAUAGUAUCUUCAUGAGACUCGAUCAUGUCAUUGGCUUCACCAAGUUGUUCCAAGAGAGCAACAAAAUGCUUCUUGGACUUACCCUUGAGUUUACCCAUAAAGGACUCAAACUCAUUUUCCUCCACAUUAGAUCCCUCACAUUCAUCAAUGCAAUCCGUCAAGGAAGGAUUAUUAAUGAUGGUAGUUUUGAUGUUGGGAGUUACCUUGUUGGUGGCUUUAUCCAUGAGGCACUUGGCGGUGAUGUUCUCAUUGGGUGAGUCGAAGAGAGAUAUUUGUGGAGUUUUUGCAAUGGCAAUGGAGGCCAUGGCAACCGACUCACCAUCUUCAUCAUCAUCAUCAUCCUCAUGGUACUCUUCUUGAACCACCAACACCUUGUGAGGGGUUUUCUUGAAGUUGCUCUUGCUGGGGAAAGACUUGGCUUUAUCCUUUUCGAAUGAGCUUGCCACCAUUGUCUUCCCUCUUCUCAUAUGGGCACUCCGCAACAAAAUGACUCACAUUGCCACAAUUGUAGCAAGUCCUUACACAUUGCUUGCUAUUCGUGCCACUUGAGUUGUUCUUGUUGAAGUUUGGCCUUGAGUUCUUCUUGCUCCAAAAUUGCCUUGAAGCAAGUGCCAUGUGUUCAUGAUAGGCAAACUUUGUAUCUUCGGGGUUGCUUUCCUCUUCUUCCUCUUCUUCUUCUUCAAUGCAAACCUUGGCCUUCAAUGCAAGGUUGGGCUUCUUUCCCCUUUGAGAGCGAAGCACCGCAUUGUCGGCGGUCUUGUCCAGGAUGUUCAUAGCCACAAACUCAUCCAACACUUCACUUGAUGUCAAAGUGUGGAAGUCCGGCCUUUGACGAAUGACGAAGGACAUGGCCUUAUGGUAAGGCAUCAUUGCCUUGAGGAAUUUGCACUUGAUCCAAUUGUCAUCCGUGUCCUUGCUCACGUGAUCUCGGAGUGAGACCGUGAGUUUGGUUACUCUCCAAUAAAGCUCACGAGCUUCUUCAUCUUAUUUCAUAGCAAACUCAUCGGCUUCAUCUUGCACUACUUCAUAGUUGGAGCAUUGAAUGCUUGCGCUUCCCUGGUAGAGAGAGACAACACAAAGCCAUGCAUCUUUUUCCAAGGCGAAGGGCCAAAGAUGAGGUAGAUCUUCGGGUGGAAUUGCAUCUUGAAUGAUGAAGAGAGAAUUCUCAUUGAAUUGAUUAUCCGCGGCUUCUCGAGGAGUGAAGUUGCUUGGAUCAUGCGGAUGGAAACCUUCUUCAAUGAUUCUCCAAAGAUUAGUGUUCACACGAUUUAAAUGACACUUAAAGCGAUAAACCCAAGAAUCAAAGUCCUCAUUUUUCACAAUCUUAGGGGGAGGACCGGCAUGAUUCAAAUGAGUGGAAGGAAUCGGUCCACCAUAAAAAAAGUGGUGGUUCCACAUGGGCAAAGAUGUCGGUGCCAUUUUUACCACUAGAAGAAGGAGCCUUUUCACUACUAGCUUCCCCCUUGUUGGAGAUAGCAUCCGUCACCUUGUCGGUGGGAUCACCCACUUUCAACGGUGCAGCGGAUAGUUUAAGCCCUUCAAUGAAUUUAGUAAACAUGCUUUCAACCUCGGUCGUCAUUGAGGUUAUCAAUGUCUCCAAGGCUACAUUGAAUUCCUCAUGGGAGACCGAGGUUCCCCCAUCACCCAUAGACGAGAUCGGAUUUACACCGGAGUUCUCCUCCACACCGUCUACGCUGUCAACCAUACUCUUCGGACGGUAAAGUCCUUAGUAAAGAGAUGAGGCUCUGAUACCAAUUGAAAGGAUCGAUAUGGUUGACUAGAGGGGGGUGAAUAGGCAACUAAUAAUUUUUAACUUUUCUUUACCAAAUUCAACUUUGCAUCAAAGUAGGUUGUCUAGAUGUGCAACUAGGUGAGCAACCUAUAUGAUGCAACAACGAACAUACAAGCAAGCAAGAGAAGUAACACUAAUAAGCUUGCACAAGUAAAGGUAAGAGAUAACCAAGAGUGGACCCGGUGAAGACGAGGAUGUGUUACCGAAGUUCCUUCCUUUGAGGGGAAGUAUGUCUCCGUUAGAGCGGUGUGGAGGCACAAUGCUCCCCAAGAAGCCACUAGGGCCACCGUAUUCUCCUCACUCCCUCACACAAUGUGAGAUGCCGUGAUUCCACUAUUGGUGCCCUUGGAGGCGGCAAUCGGACCUUUACAAACAAGGUUGGGGCAAUCUCCACAACUUAAUCGAAGGCUCCCAACAACACCAUGAAACUUCACCAUAAUGGACUAUGGCUCCGUGGUGACCUCAACCAUCUAGGGUGCUCAAACACCCAAUAGUAACAAGAUCCGCUAGGUAUAGGUGGGGGAAUCAAAUAUCUCUUGGUGGAAGUGUAGAUCGGGGCCUUCUCAACCACUCCCGAGCAAAUCAACAAGUUUGAUUGGCUAGAGAGAUAGAUCGGGCGAAAAUGGAGCUUGGAGCAUUAAUGGAGCUUGAGGGGGAAGAGGUAGGUCAACGAAGAAGAAGGGGACCCCCCCUUUUAUAGUGGGGGUAACAAUCCGACCGUUACCCCACAAAAUAGCCCCGCAGAGGGCGGUACUACUGUAGUGGGCAGCUGUACUACCGCUGGACCCAGUGGUACUACCGCUCCCCCUUACGGUACUACCGCCCAGACAGAGAGAGCAUGAAGGCGGAGGAGGGGCUAGCCCGGUGCGGUACUGCUAGACAGACCCAGCACGGUACUGCCGCGGUGGCAGGGCGGUACUACUGCACCUACUGCCGUUGCAGGUGUCACUCAACCCGACACGAGAAGUGCCCCCCUCGAGUCGAGGCGGCAGUGGCCCGGUACCGCAGCGGUACUGCCGCUGAGGACGCACAAGCGGUACUACCGCUGGGGCUAAAGACAACUCAAUCUGCAGGGAAAAAGACCUCCAACGACGCGGGAAGGCCCAGAGGGUGCGAAACGAAAGUGUACGUGAUGAUUCCACCCUAGUCAUACCAAAGCGGACCCCCUCUUGAUAGUACGAUGACUCCUAAGAAACUAGUCCACCAACAAGAAACGAAAGAGCUACACCGUCUUGAAAAACACUCCGAGGGGAAAGAAAUCGUCUCGAGCCAAAGGAUGAAUCUCUGAAACGCUCAACGCACAAGGUUAGUCCGCAAAUAUGUUGUCAUCAAUCACCAAAACUACAUCGAGAGAGAUAUGCCUUAACAAGUGCCUUUGCAUGAAAAAGAGCUACUACUACAAUUCCCACACUUUUCUCAGCAUGCUAGGAAUAGUAGUAGCAAGCUUAGGUGAAACGCAUUGUUGCUAAGUUGGUUGUAGCAGCGCUUUUUCUGGGAGAAGCGCUACUGCUAAUGAAAAUAGAAUAAAAUGAAAAACAAAUACAAAAGUAAAUGAAAAUAAAAGAAAUAAAAAAAGGAGAAAGGAAAAAAGAAAAUAUAAAGGAAAAUAAAAGAAAAAGGAAAAUAAAUGAGAAAGGCAUAGCAGUAGCGGGCUUUCACAACAAGCGCUAUAGCUAAUGUAGCAGUAGCGCAUUCCUUGUACCCCCGCUAUAGAUAAUUUCCUUAAAUAAAGAAGAAAGGAAAAAAGAAAAGUAAAUAAAAAAAGGAAAAGGAAAAGGAAAAAGGAAAAUAAAAAUAAAUAGCUACUGCCUAUAGCAGUAGCGCGUUUUGGCAGCCAGCGCUAUAGCUAAGUUAGCUAUAGCGCUUUUCUGCGCCAUCGCUACCAUUACUCUUGACUUAACCCCCGCGCGGUUUUUCUCCCCCGCGACCACUUCCCCCAAAUCCCCCCUUUGCUAUCGCCGCCGUCGUCACCCUACAAUGUCGUCGCCCGUCGGUCGCCGCGCGCCCUCCCGUCGCCCUCUGCACGUCGUCUGCUACCCUCGAUGGCCGUCUGGUGCUCGCCCUCCACCGCGCGCCCGAGCCCUGACCCCGACCUCGACGCCGCGCGCCCCCUCCCUCGGCCGCUCUGCCUCCUCCUGCCCGAGGUGAGCACGCCUACACUUGCUCCUCCUCCCCUACAUCUGCCCAGCUAGGGUUCAUUAAAUUUUAGGGUUCAUCAAAUUAGCUAGGGUUCAUCUAAUUAGUUAGGGUUCAUCAAAUUAGCUAGUACUUGUACAUGCUUAAGUAGUUCUAUAGUUGUUGUGCACCCAAUGUAGUUAACUAAAUCUAAUUUCUAGGACAAAUUUGUAUAUGCUUAAGUAGUUAACUAAAUAUUUUUAGGACAAAUUUGUAUAUGCUUAAGUAUUUAACUAAAUAUAUUUUAGGGUUGUAUAGUUGCUUAAGUACUUGUAUAGUUGUUCUGCACCCAAUGUAUGCUUAAGUAGUUGUAUAAUUCCUGGGGUUCAUCAAUGGGUGCUUAAAUAGUUGUAGAUGCUUAAGUAGCUAGCUAGGGUUCAUCUAAUUAGUCAGUACUUGUAGAUGCUUAAGUACUAGGGCAGUAGGGUUUAACUAGAUGUCAAUUAGGGCAAUAGGAUUUAAUGUAGAGAGAAAAUUCAAUAUAAAAAUAAAAAUUUCUACUAGUGCUGCAAGUCCAGUAGGUUCUUGAUUUUUACUAAUUUUUUAUUAUGACAGAAAUUUAGGACAUAAUUUGAAUUGAGUUCUAGGGUUCAUAAUUUGAAAUUUAGGACCGAAAUUGAGUCCUAGGGUUCAUAAUUUAUAUUAGGACGACAAUUUUGGACAGAAAUAUGUAAAGGUUCUAGGUUUUUAGGGUUCAUCCAUCUAUAUUUGGUUUUUGAAUUGAGUUUGAGAGAGCAUGAGAUCUGUGUAGAUUUUCUUGAAGUGUCAAACACCAGGAGAUGCAAAUUUGAAGUGGUCAUGUUAUAUGCAAAUUCCUUAAUAGUGUUUUCUCAUGUAUAUCUACUGUUGUAGUUGCUCAUGUACAAGUUCUUAAGUGGUCCUGUUAUAUGCAACAUUGAAGUGGUUCGAUUGUGCCCAAGUGGCCUUUUGUUGUUUGCAUGGAAUGAUUCCGAGUGGCCUAUGUUUUGCGAAAUGUUGAUUCAUUUCUGUUCCGACAAAUUUCUGGCGCUUGAUUUUUCCACUUUGUAGCAAAGGUCAUGCCAAAAUUUUCCAUGAAUUUCGGCAUGACUUGUGCUACAAACUAGGACAUACCGAGUGCCCGGGAUUUGCCGCAACGGGAAUGAAUCAACAUUCCUGGAAAAUAUAGGUCUUUUUAUGUCAUUAUUUAAUUUAUUAGGUCUAGAAUUAAUUGACUAGAUUUAAUCAUAGGAAACAUGGCUAGAAACGAUGAAGGACAUGGUUCUGGUGAUUGCAACGUCUAUGAGGCGGCAGACGCCUAUUUGAACUAUCUCGAGGAGCAACAGUUGUUGCAGUGCCCACCUGUCACAUCCGAGACUCCGACGCUCUACGUGGUUAACUUACCGCAGCAAAGGUUGUACGUCAACACAUUCCCCACGGAAAAGUUCUUCCUUCGAUUUGAUUACAUCUUCCACAUGUUUCACUUGAAAAACCUGGAUUUUACGUUUGUUCGCCUUUUUCCUUAUACAUGAACUACAUUAUCAGGAUUGAGCAAAUACCUUAUAUCUGUGUCGCUGACCCGUACUUCAUGCACGAGGGCUUCUUGGCAGUCUGCCCAAAGCACCAUGAAUACGCGAGUAACUACAUCGCCGAUUUCAUGGUCAGCAAUAAGGACAAGGAGAUGAUUCUCGUGUGUUAUCAUCGCAUGUAAGUCAUCCGCGGAUACCCUUCCUUCGAUUUCACUCAUUUUUUUGCAUGUGUGGAGGCUAAUUUGAGGUGUACUUAUUUUGCGCAGUGACGGGCGCGUCGUUCUCAGCAUCCUUUACCCCCGGUUCUCCCACGCGCUUUACUUGGACUCGUCAAAGAACAUGAAGAAAAAGGAUUACACCCACAUCAAGUCUGUUCUCGACAGUGCUCUCUUAAGCUACGACCUACCGGGUGGAGAGAUCAUGCUCAAGAAGACAAGGUACCGUGUGCCCGCCUUCGGCCAUAAGACCGACUUCUGCUGCAUCCAUCAACUGAGUGGUACUCUCAGUGAUGGAUUCUAUGUCCUCCACCACAUGCUGGAGUACAGACCGGAUCAGCAGAACUUCGCGUGUCACCUAAAAUUAGGAGAUGUCCCGGAUCAUCAACUCCGAGCUGAGUUCUAUCACAUCCAGCGUGAACUUGCCCAAAUCAUCAUGAAGGAGGUCCUAAAAAAUAGGGUUGUUCUACGAAGAAGGGCAAAUGUCGCGGGAAGACGUCCGAACAUGCGUAGCCGCUCAGCGUCUUGACCUGAAGCCUUUCACUACGCUCGGGGAUUAUCUCCCUGAUUUGGAUGGAUGGCACGACAUGUUGGAGUGAUUGACAAUAUAUGACAAUGUUUUUGUUUAGUCCAUACUUUCUCUAUGACGAAACUUUGAGUUAUGCACGACGAAACUUUGUGAUUUAAUUAAACUGUCCUCCUCAACUAGCGAAGAUCACUCUAGUUAGGGCAUUUUGGGUACGAUGAACUUUGUUAUUUAUGCUUAUGAUAUGUUGCUUCUAAUUUUGUCAACUCUGUCUCUUUCUGUUGCUCAACUAUAUAUGUUGCAUAUUAUCAACUCAUGUGACGAUGCAGAUACAUAGAUCAUCGAUGGCGAAGAAGUGCUAUGCCAGGAGUAUACGCCGAGUGGCCUGAGUGUCAGGCCCAGGUGUACCGGUUUCCGAGCGACAACCAGAGAGGGUUCGAUAGCAGAGCUGAAGCGGAAAAUAGUUAGUUUAGGUUCACGCUAAUGCGAGAGAGGGAUCUGAACCGGCGCCUCAAGAAGUACUACAUUAUGUAUGACGAGACAUGUCAGUUAACUUGUAUCGCUAUAUCGUGAUUAUGAUAUGAUGACAUGAUUUGUGCUGGAUGAUAUGAUGAGACUAUUAUGUGUAUGAUAUGAUGAGCAUAUUGCAUAUUUAUGGUAUGAUUAGAAUACUGUAUAAAACCUAUACAAAAACAUCGCAAAUAUGUAAAAAAAAUGUGAAAAUAUAGUAGUAGCGCUCUUUAGCGCUGGACAGGAAAACACUACUGCUAAGCCACUUAGCAGUAGCGCUGGUAUGGACAACGCUACUGCUAAGUAGGUAUAGCAGUAGCGCUACUACAUUAUGUAUGAUGAGACAUGUCAGUUAACUUGUAUCGCUAUAUCGUGAUUAUGAUAUGAUGACAUGAUUUGUGCUGGAUGAUAUGAUGAGACUAUUAUGUGUAUGAUAUGAUGAGCAUAUUGCAUGUUUAUGAUAUGAUUAGAAUACUGUAUAAAACCUAUACAAAAACAUCGCAAAUAUGUAAAAAAAUGUGAAAAUAUAGUAGUAGCGCUCUUUAGCGUUGGACAGGAAAACACUACUGCUAAGCCACUUAGCAGUAGCGCUGGUAUGGAAAACGCUACUGCUAAGUAGGUAUAGCAGUAGCGCUGGUCAAAAUGUGUGUGACGCCCCGAUUCCGACGCGCCAGGUGUCUUUCAGUUAUUCGUUAUUGUUGCCUUGUCUUUUGCUUGCGUGUUGUAUUUCAUCAUGUCACCUUUUCCAUCGCAUCAUGCCAUCAUUUCUUUAAUUUUAUAACUUUUAUAAAUAAAUUGCAUGGAUCUUCGGUCCAUUUAAAUCGAGGGAAUGCACAUGGUGUUUUUCUCUUUAUAACAUAUAUCCUCCCAAUAUUAUUAGGGAGCUAUAAAAUAAUAUUCCAUUAGUUUGGAAUUAACCGCAAACACACUUGCAAUUUAAACUCUCAAGUCUAUUCUGCUUCGAGUUGCUCCUCAAACCUUGCCAUAUUUUUUUCAUCAUUUUCUGGAGCUCCAUCAAAAAUCCGAACAUUUUUGGACCUUCCUAACCCUCACUUCCUAUUCGAACCUUUUGAAUUCAAAUCAAAUGAGUUUGAAUUUAAACUUUGAAAUAUGCCCACUCCAUUUUUCUUGGAUCGUACUCAUUUUAUGAGUCCGGGAAAUUUAACCGCAUACCCAAAUUCUUUCUCUAACUCCCCCCCCUCUUCCUUUUUCUCCUCUCUAUGCUUUCUGUUAAAGGGAAUAUAUAUAUAUAUAUAGAGAGAGAGAGAGAGAGAGCAGAGCCCAGCUGGUCACUUGGGCCUCCUAGCUAGGCCGGCCCAUUGGCCCAGCCGCCCUCAACCCUAGCCGAUCGCCCUUGGUCCCUCCUAGCCUCGCCAGAGGGAUCGAGAGAUCCCUCGACCUCUCCCCUCUGCCCGAUUCCCCAACCUCUCCUCCCGUCCUCCCCGCGCCUGGCCCUCUCCUCCCAGUGCCUUCGCGAGUGCCAGGGAUGCCGCCCGCUCCCUGCAGUCGCCCCUCGCCGGAUCCUGCAGGCCGCCGCCCGGUUCCCUCGCGCCCCGCCGGAUCUCCAUCCUCACGCCGGCGAGCAUGACGCCCUCCGCGCGGCCCCCCUUCCUCUGCUACUCCUCCUUCUCUGUUGCGUCUCUGCUCCAUCGCCGGACUGCUGCCCUCCGUUGCGCCCAUCCAUCCUUCCAUCUCCCUGUGUCGCGCCUCGACGACACAGAGGCCCGAGCUUCGGCCGGGAGCAGCCGCAGCUACGUGGCGCCCGCCACCAAGCAGUCGUGCAUCAACGGCCAUCUCUCCGCCGCCUCCUGCCUAGCUUGCAUCCCCGUCGCUCCUCCUCGGCUUCUGUGUGGACCUCGUCCCGAAGACCCCAGGACACAGCUCCGGUCUCUUGUACCCGUGCUGCACCACCACGACCCGAUGACGCCCUGCCCGGCGUGCUUGCGCGCCCAAUGGUGACCUCCACCGCGGACCUAUUCGCGUGAAGCCCCUACUCCUCCACCAUCAGUGUCCGGCGACUCCGUUCCGUGCCUUGCUGCUGCUGCAGGCCAUGAGCUCUCCGGCUACCGCAGGAACGCCAUGGUCAAGACCACCUCCGCGAGGAACGCAAGACGCAUCCUCCAUGCACCCCCGCUUGUGGCUGUUAACGUCAAGACCAUCCCGGUUUUUCGCCAAGCACCACCACCGGCAAGUACAACUACACCACGUCGAUACAAGUCCCACUACCGUCGCCUCCGGAAGCCUCGGAUCCGUCAAGUCCCUCGACGACAAGUGCAUGACUAUAUGGAUUGUAUCAAGUACCCCCCUUCGAGUUGACGAUAUCGGCAAGUGCGAAACACCAAGUACCACGACGACCAUCGAUAUGUACCCCUACACUAAAACGCCGAGUACCUCGCCGUGACUCCGAACAUCUACGAAAACUUGUGCGACUACGAACGUGAUCAACUACCGUCGCCAUGGAUACGACAAGUUUGCAAGUACAACUACUUCCUCAACGACCCGCGAGAACCGCUACUUUCACUACCGUCGCGAGAACAACUACUUCCCUCGACGUACCCGAAACGCUCCGAGAAUGCACCCUUGGAAGGUAUAACCAUCAAGACAACCGCCCGUGGACCGAAUGCAUGUUUGUAUGUUGUAUCCGCCCGUGAACGUUAGUUGUUCCUCCUCGUUGGCACGCCGUCGAUCCGUGGGAACCCGGUAUCCGGGAUCACCCCACCAUCCUUGCAUGACACGCUCCCGUCGCCUUUUCUUUUGCCCCGGCAUCUCAAUCGAGUUACCGGAACCGGAACAUUGCCGUGGCACCAUUUCCGUUGGCGUUGCCGUGGCACCCCUUUCGUCUCCGCCACGAUGACAAAUGAUUCAUAUAAUGCUCUUAUCAACAUUUUAAUCAAACUUGCAUAAACUUGCAUAGGUCAUCCACAUCAUGAUAACAACAUUUAAAUGUUUAAAAUUGUUGUUUGCAUUAAUUUGCAAAUGCAUAUGGGGUUUGUCGAAUUUGUUGUUUGUUAUAUCCGGCCCCAUUUAAAUUGUUUAGAUAGUAUAGUUUUCUUAUGCUUCACCCUCUUGCCAUGUUUAACAACAUUUAGUAUUGAUGGGUACAUAAACGGGAGAGAACUAAAUAAGCCACGUGGUGUUCCGUCAAUAUGCAACUCGUUGCAUAUUGGGCUCCACUUAACUUGUAGUUUUGUUUGUGCACUUUGCCAUGCCAUGCAUAUUUAAACUGGACAUGCAUCAUACUUGAUUGUGCAUCAUGCCAUGUUUAUGUGAUGGUUGUUUACUUUGUUGCUUGUUUCUUUCCGGGUUGCUCUCUCGUUAGCUUCGAUUUUGUUCCGGAGUUGUGAGGAUUCGUUCGACUAUGUCCAUUUAUCUUCUUCAUGGAAUCGUUCUUCUUCCUUGCGGGAUCUCAGGCAAGAUGACCAUACCCUCGAAAUCACUUCUAUCUUUGCUUGCUAGUUGCUCGCUCUAUCGCUAUGCCGCGAUACCUACCACUUGCUAUAUCAUGCCUCCCAUAUUGCCAUGUCAAACCUCUAACCCACCUUUUCUAGCAAACCGUUGUUUGGCUAUGUUACCGCUUUGCUCAGCCCCUCUUAUAGCGUUGCUAGUUGCCGGUGAAGAUGAAGUUUGUUCCAUGUUGGAACAUGGAUAUGUUGGGAUAUCACAAUAUCUCUUAUUUAUAUUAAUGCAUCUAUAUACUUGGUAAAGGGUGGAAGGCUCGGCCUUAUGCCUGGUGUUUUGUUCCACUCUUGCCGCCCUAGUUUCCGUCAUACCGGUGUUAUGUUCCUUGAUUUUGCGUUCCUUACACGGUUGGGUGUUAUGGGGACCCCUUGACAGUUCGCUUUGAAUAAAACUCCUCCAGCAAGGCCCAACCUUGGUUUUACCAUUUGCCUCACCACCACCUACUUUUCCCUUGGGAGUCGCGCUCCCAAGGGUCAUCUUUAUUUUAAGCCCCCCCGGGCCAGUGCUUGUCUAAGUGUUGGUCCGAACUGAGUAGACUGCGGGGCCACCUCGGGGGAAACUUGAGGUUUAGUUUUACUCGUAGGAUGUCUCAUUCGGUGUUGCCCUGAGAACGAGAUAUGUGCAGCUCCUAUCGGGAUGUCGGUGCAUCGGGCGAUCUUGCUGGUCUUGUUUUAUCAUUGUUGAAAUGUCUUGUAACCGGGAUUCCGAGUCUGAUCGGGUAUUCUUGGGAUAAGGAAUAUCCUUCGUUGACCGUGAGAGCUUGUGAUGGGCUAAGUUGGGACACCCCUGCAGGGUUUUGAACUUUCGAAAGACGUGCCCGCGGUUAUGGGCAGAUGGGAAUUUGUUAAUAUCCGGUUGUAGAGAACUUGACACUUAACUUAACUAAAAUGCAUCAACCGCGUGUGUAGCCGUGAUGGUCUCUUUCCGGCGGAGUCCGGGAAGUGAACACGGUUCUUGUGUUAUGCUUGAACGUAAGUAGUUUAGGAUCACUUCUUGAUCACUUCUAGUUCACGACCGUUGCAUUGCUUCUCUUCUCGCUCUUAUUUGCGUAUGUUAGCCACCAUAUAUGCUUAGUGCUUGUUGCAGCUCCAUCUCAUUACCCUAUCCUACCCAUAAGCUUAAAUAGUCUUGAUCUCACGGAUGUGAGAUUGCCGAGUCCUCGUGGCUCACAGAUACUUCCAAACAGUUGCAGGUGUCGACGAUACCAGUGCAGAUGACGCAACCCAGCUCCAGUGGGAGCUCGAUGAAGAUCUUGUUCGUUGUGUUGUUUCAUUUCCUGUUGAUCAGUAGUGGAGCCCAAUCGGGUCGAUCGGGGAUCUAGCAUUUGGGAUUGUCUUUAUUUAUGUUGGUUCCAUAGUCGGACCUUGAUUGUAUUCUGGAUGAUGUAAUGCUAUAUUUAUGUAUUGUGUGAAGUGGCGAUUGUAAGCCAACUCUUUAUCCCUUUUUUAUUCAGUACAUGGGAUGUGUAAAGAUUACCCCUCUUGCGACAUGCCUACCAUGCGGUUAUGCCUCUAAGUUGUGCUUCGACAUGUGGGAGAUAUAGCCGCAUCGUGGGUGUUACAAUGUGUUACUGCUAAAUGUUAGCUUUAGCGCCGUAUCAGUAGCUAGCCCUUAGACUUGCGCUACUGCUAGGCUUUUCCCUAGUAGUGUUGGGAUUCUCUCUUUUGUGAUUUGUGAAUUUUGAUAGAGCCUGUGUUUGGGGAGAUGGAUUACGUUGAGAGGCAAAACGCUAAUUAAGAGAGAGAGGUUAAUUAAUGGCGAUUAAGAUGGGAGUGUGCCUUGCGUGAUUGUGGGAGUUGGCCACGCAGGGCGUGGGGGUGUUUUCCUCCGCGCUGGAGUACAGUCAGUCAAUGCACGCGGAAAAUAGAUUAGGAUAUGGCGGCUGCUACAAAUAAGUCGGAUGAUUUCCCCAGGAAAUCAUCCGGCUAGCCAGCCGUCCGAUCUGGCGCCUGUUUUGUUCGAUGGCAGCAGCCUGUCCCCGAUCCAUACCGCGUCCUCCUUUGUAGUGAUGAAGGUGCAACAGCCCCUUGUCAAAUCCACACCGCGCCUCCUCGAACACAAGGUUGGUGCAGCAAAAACAAUGGAUUGGCAACGGCGUCGGCGACCUCUCAGCACCGAAGCCGGCGGAGAUGCUGCUUCAUAGCUCCAAAAGAGUCGUCGGCGUCCCGCUCCAUCAUAGCGCCGAGACUCACCGAGGGGCUGCAGUGACGACACCCCGACGAAGCUCCAGUGCAGCUCCAUGGAAGCACCGUCGACGCCGGCGAAGCUGCAUUGCAACCCCGGCGACGCUGCAUUGCAGCUCUGGUGGAGCUCCAUUGCAGCCGCGACAAAGCUCGAACAACCCCGGCGACUCCCAUUGCAGUCGCGGCGAAGCGCCAUUGCAGCAACAAAGAAGCUCCGACGACCCCCGGCGACCCUCCAUUACAUCCCGGCGGCGCUCCAUUGUAGCUCUAGUGGAGUUCCAUUGCAGCCACGACGAAGCUCGAACGACCCCAACGCUGCUCCAUUGCAGCCACGGCUGACGGCGGAGCUCCGACGACCCUUAAUUGCAGCCACGGGCGCACUCAUUGCAUCGCCGAUGAUGACAACGGAUGUUGCGACGCAGCAUGCGACAGCCAUGGCGGAAGCUGCGACGACAGCGGAAUCUGCGGUGGAGCGUGGGGAUGCUGCGAUGCAACUCCGGUGAGGCUCUAUUGCAGCCCCGACGGUGUGAGGAUGAAUGGCCAUGGGCCGACGGCCGUCACCUCCUCCGCUACGGUGAAACUGCUUAGAACAAGAGAAGGGAAAGGAAAAGAAUCGAUGGAGGAUAUGUUUAGUGGAAGAAGAUAAGGUGUAGGCGAUUGGAGUGGUGGGUGGGCCCCCACAGCGCCACGUGUAGCACGGGAAGAGCGGCUUACGGGAGAGAGUUAUCAUCCGACUUAAUCUAAACGCUUUCCUUAGGAUAUGGCUAGCCGUUAGGUGAGUUUAGUGGGCCUAAUCAUGCGGUGGUAAUUAGUCUGUGUAUAUUUUGUUGGGUAUGUUUAAAGAAAAUUUUGUUUGUUCUUUUGUAAGUAAUGUAGAUUGAUACCUUUUUUUAGAUAUAAGAUUUGGUUAUUUUUUUAGUCUACUUUUUUUUGAGAAACAAGCCUCUUUUGAGUCUAGAUAAGAUUGAUUUUUUUUAGAACUUCUAGAUAAGAUUGAUUUUUUUUUUGAGACAAAGAUAAGAUUGAUACGUUGUCUUGAAACCUAAUAACAUCCAACAAAGAAGAGAUGGGCCAGCCCACCCAGUCCUGAAGCCUGAUAUCCGAAUUGCACUUGGGAGGCCUUCUCCGAGUCACAGGAAGAGUCGGUCCGCGUAACAAGGGCCAGCCCACCCAGCUGCCGACUUACUUAACCCAGGCUCCUGGCAACCUCCCUAUCCCUUUUCCCCAAAAUAAUACGGUACCACAAGUCGAACCAAACCCUAGCUUCUCCUCAUCGAUCCCCGAUCCCCAUCCGGCGACUCGCCGGAACCCUAGCCCAGAUCCGCGGCAACUCCGCCGCACCAGCCAUGGGGACCCUCAGGGAGAUCCUGCCGUCGCCCAAGACGUCGUCGUCCACCUUCUACGACCACAGCAGCGACCCGUGGUUCAAGGAGCGGUACGGCGGGGAGCCCGCGGAGGCGGCGGCGGGGAAGCUUGCGGGCCCCGCCAAGCCCGUGCCUCCCUACGGCAAGCGCACCGGCUUCGUGCCCCGGCGGCCGGAGGACUUCGGCGAUGGCGGCGCCUUCCCCGAGAUCCUCCUCGCGCAGUACCCGCUCGGCAUGGGCCGCCGCGACGACAAGGGCGGGUCCAAGAUCCUCGCGCUCACCGUCGACGCGCAGGGCAGCGUCGCCUUCGACGCCGUCGUCAAGCAGGGCGAGAACGCCAAGAAGAUCGUCUACUCCAAGCACAGCGACAUCGUGCCCAAGAUCGCCACGGCCGACUCGGAAGCCGUCGAGGACGAGGAGUACGACAAGGAGGUCGAGGAGACCAAAGAGCGGACCGUAGCUGCCCUGCAGAAGAUUGUCAACGUCCGCCUCUCUGCUGCCCAGCCCAAGAACGUUCCGACGCAUGAUUCGGAAUCAAAGUUCAUCAAGUAUAAGCCGUCGCAGCAGUCGGCAGCGUUCAAUUCAGGUGCCAAGGAGAGGAUUAUUAGGAUGUCGGAGAUGGCUUCGGAUCCUCUUGACCCACCAAAGUUCAAGCAUAAGCGGGUGCCCCGUGCGUCUGGGUCGCCGCCUGUGCCCGUGAUGCACUCGCCACCACGGCCCGUCACAGUGAAGGACCAGCAGGAUUGGAAGAUCCCACCUUGCAUUUCAAAUUGGAAGAAUCCAAAGGGUUACACAAUCCCACUCGACAAGAGGUUGGCAGCUGAUGGGAGGGGGCUGCAGGAGGUUCAGAUUAAUGAUAACUUUGCAAAGCUUUCAGAAGCAUUGUAUGUUGCAGAGCAGAAGGCGAGGGAAGCAGUGCAGAUGCGCUCCAAGGUGCAGAGGGAGCUAAUGCUAAAGGAGAAGGAGAGGAAGGAGCAAGAGCUGAGGGCACUUGCACAGAAGGCCCGCAUGGAAAGGUCUGGUGCUCCACCUCCAUCUACAGGUAUGCCUGUCGGAGGUGGGAGGGAGAGAGAGCGGGAGAGGGUUGUUGAUGAUGGGGAUGCAGAUAUGGAUUUGGAGCAGCCACGUGAGCAGCGCAGGGAAACUAGAGAAGAGAGGGAGGCGAGGAUUGAGCGUGACAGGAUCCGUGAGGAGCGGAGGCGUGAGAGGGAGAGGGAGAGGAGGCUGGAGGCAAAGGAGGCUGCUGGAACGCAUAAAAAGAGUAAGCUCACUAGAGACAGGGACCGUGACGUUGGUGAGAAGGUGGCCCUGGGUAUGGCACACACUGGUGCGAAGACCGGGGAAGUCAUGUAUGACCAGAGGCUCUUUAACCAGGACAAGGGAAUGGACUCUGGUUUUGGUGCUGAUGAUCAGUACAACCUGUAUUCGAAGGGCCUCUUCACAGCACAGUCCAGUAUGUCCUCACUUUACAGGCCCAAGAAGGAUGGUGAUUCUGAAGUGUAUGGUGGUGAUGCCGACGAACAGUUGGAGAAGGUUAUGAAGACAGAGAGGUUCAAGCCUGACAAGGCAUUUACCGGUGCUCCAGAGAGGGCUGGCAAGAGAGAUAGACCCGUGGAGUUUGAUAAGCAAGAGGAGGCUGAUCCAUUUGGUCUUGAUCAGUUCUUGACUGAGGUGAAGAAGGGAAAGAAAGCUGUGGACAAGAUUGGUGGCGGAGGAACUAUGAAGGCAAGUGGUGGAUCUUCAAGGGAUGAUUACGAGGGUGGGGGGUCUGGGAGGUCUCGCAUUAACUUCGAAAGAGGAGGGCGUUGAGGUAUUUGCAGUGCACAUUUAUCUUCUGCAAUUUUCAUGUCCUCAGUGCAUUUUCAAAUAUCAUCCCGAAGGAUUUCUUUGGAGAAUAUGAUCCUUCUUACACAAGGAAGAACGCAAAUAUCAUCCUGAAGGAUUUCUUUGGAGAAUAUGAUCUUUCUUGCAGAAGGAAGAACCUGAUGCUUUAGUUGCUGUGAUAUGGCUGCUUGUUCUAUUUCAACCGGAGUGUUAAACGGUGUACUUACUUAUUAGAUCCUACGAUGCUUGUAUGCUGUGUAUCUUUGUGACGGGAUCCAUGAACUUUGUCGUUGCACAUGUUACAUAGGCUCAUCCAUGCCCUGUUAAUUUCAAAGCUGUAUCGAAGUCGUAAUAUAUCUGGCUGAACUGGGUAUAUGUGUCAUCUCUUGUUUAUCAUGCUUACUGGUUGGAUGAGUUUGUGGUCGUUUUCCAAAAUAAGCAGGGAGAUGUUUGAAGAAGAAUGCCCUUCAACCUUGCUUGCGCUUGUUUUAUUCAUUUG
rnacentral:lncRNA from 1 species